rnacentral:tRNA from 1 species
GCUGCUGUAGCUUAAGUUGGGAGAGCAAGCGACUUUUAAUCGCGAGGUCGGGGGUUCGAUUCCCUCCAGCAGCA